UUCCAGACUCCUACGGGAGGCAGCAGUGGGGAAUAUUGGGCAAUGGGGGAAACCCUGACCCAGCGACGCCGCGUGAGGGAAGAAGGUUUUCGGAUUGUAAACCUCUGUCCUUGGUGACGAUAAUGACGGUAGCCAAGGAGGAAGCCACGGCUAACUACGUGCCAGCAGCCGCGGUAAUACGGAGGGUGCGAGCGUUAAUCGGAAUUACUGGGCGUAAAGCGCUCGUAGGCGGUAUGUCAAGUCAAGGGUGAAAUCCCCGCGCUCAACGUGGGAACUGCCUUUGAAACUGGCAAACUGGAGUGUGUGAGAGGAUAGUGGAAUUCCAGGUGUAGGAGUGAAAUCCGUAGAUAUCUGGAGGAACAUCAGUGGCGAAGGCGACUAUCUGGCACAUAACUGACGCUGAGGAGCGAAAGCGUGGGUAGCAAACAGGAUUAGAUACCCGGGUACC
rnacentral:rRNA from 1 species